rnacentral:rRNA from 1 species
AGAGUUUGAUCCUGGCUCAGGACGAACGCUGGCGGCGUGCUUAACACAUGCAAGUCGAGCGAUGAAGUUUCUUCGGAAAUGGAUUAGCGGCGAACGGGUGAGGAACACGUGAAGAAUCUGCCCUCCACUUUGGGAUAACACAGGGAAACCUGUGCUAAUACCGAAUAUUGAAACAUAAGUGGCAUCACUGAGUUUUGAAAGAAUUUCGGUGGAGGAUGACUUCGCGGCCUAUCAGCUAGUUGGUGAGGUAAUGGCUCACCAAGGCAACGACGGGUAGCCGGCCUGAGAGGGCGACCGGCCACACUGGGACUGAGACACGGCCCAGACUCCUACGGGAGGCAGCAGUGGGGAAUAUUGGGCAAUGGAGGAAACUCUGACCCAGCGACGCCGCGUGCGGGAUGAAGGCCUUCGGGUUGUAAACCGCUUUCAGUAGGGAAGAAGCGAAAGUGACGGUACCUACAAAAGAAGCACCGGCUAACUAUGUGCCAGCAGCCGCGGUAAUACAUAGGGUGCAAGCGUUGUCCGGAAUUAUUGGGCGUAAAGAGCUCGUAGGUCGUUUGUUACGUCGGAUGUGAAAACCUGAGGCUCAACCUCAGGCCUGCAUUCGAUACGGGCAAACUAGAGUUUGGUAGGGGAGACUGGAAUUCCUGGUGUAGCGGUGGAAUGCGCAGAUAUCAGGAGGAACACCAAUGGCGAAGGCAGGUCUCUGGGCCAAUACUGACACUGAGGAGCGAAAGUCUGGGGAGCGAACAGGAUUAGAUACCCUGGUAGUCCAGACCGUAAACGGUGGGCACUAGUUGUGGGGACCUUCCACGGUUUCUGCGACGCAGCUAACGCAUUAAGUGCCCCGCCUGGGGAGUACGAUCGCAAGAUUAAAACUCAAAGGAAUUGACGGGGCCCCGCACAAGCAGCGGAGCAUGCGGCUUAAUUCGACGCAACGCGAGGAGCCUUACCAAGGCUUGACAUAUAGGGAAAAGUGGC